GAUAAACGCUGGCGGCGUGCAUGAGACAUGCAAGUCAUACGGACGAGCUUGCUCGUUAGUGGCGAACGGCUGAGUAACGCGUAGGUGACCUGCCCCGAAGUGGGGGAUAACUGCCCGAAAGGGUGGCUAAUACCGCAUGUGGCGACGUGUUCAUUCACGUCAUCAAAGCCGCGAGGCGCUUCGGGAGGGGCCUGCGUCCGAUUAGCUCGUUGGUGGGGUAACGGCUCACCAAGGCGACGAUCGGUAGGUGGUCUGAGAGGACGAUCACCCAGACUGGGACUGAGACACGGCCCAGACUCCUACGGGAGGCAGCAGUCGGGAAUUUUGCUCAAUGGGGGAAACCCUGAAGCAGCAACGCCGCGUGCGGGAUGAAGGCCUUCGGGUUGUAAACCGCUUUUACCAGGGACGAUAAUGACGGUACCUGAUGAAUAAGUCACGGCUAACUACGUGCCAGCCGCCGCCGUAACAC
rnacentral:rRNA from 1 species